CUAAUCCAGACAUCCUCCCCUGGCUGAGAUAUAUGAUCAACUUUGAUAUUUGAUCAAGUUCAUCGCCUGCCUUUGAUUUUCUAAGUUCUUGGCCUGCCUUCAACAAGAAUUUUGUUAGGCAUUCACUAUACACUUUAGAUUUUUCCAUACGGAUCACCAAUUCCUAAAAUCUAUUGGACAAUAGGCCAUUGUUUCCUUCUAUCUGAAACAUCAGCUCCGUUAUAUCAAGAUUCCAGCUGGUUCAGAACACAGGCCCCGGCAGAGAAGGGAAUUGUGUAUUUACCCCAACAACCCUCAACAAUGACAGCUCCUUCCGUCUUCUAACCUCUGGGCAGACACUGACUAAAGGAAGAAAGCACAGAGAGGAUCUCUUGACGGAAUGCAAAAGACUUCCCUAGAUGUCUGCUAUCAAAUGUCUUCCUUUUAAUCUUGGGAGUAGAAAGGGAACCUGGCUUCCUUUCUGGACUUAACCAUGAAACCAGCACCAUCACAUCACCCCUAAACAGAAACUAAGACCCUUCCACAUGCCCCUUGUCACCACAACCAUCCUCUACUGACCCAUUUUUACAGAUUAGACACCUCUUUGGACUUCACUUCCCUCACACAUGCAGUAGGGAUAAUAGAUAACAGAAUUAUCCACCUCAUAAGGUUACUAGGAGGAUUAAGUGAAACAACAGAUGGAAAGGUAGCUGACACUGGCA
rnacentral:lncRNA from 1 species